UUUCCUCCAGUUUAUCAUGUGACAUAGCAGGUCGCCAUGCCGUUUUAGCAGCAAGUCAGUAUUAGCAGUCAAGCAAGCGAGGGAGGAUUUAAGAGAAAUUGCUAACGUUUAAAAGGAGGGGAAAGAACAGACAUGCCCCCACCCGCCUGGCCAGAUUGGAAGCAUUGCAAACAAUCCUUUCUGCUUGUUUCCAGGACUAAUUCAAGAAGAUGCAGCUUUUGACAGUCAAAGCUUGGAACAGCCUAGAUCUCAAGG